GACGAACGCUGGCGGCGUGCCUAAUACAUGCAAGUAGAACGCUGAAGAGAGGAGCUUGCUCUUCUUGGAUGAGUUGCGAACGGGUGAGUAACGCGUAGGUAACCUGCCUUGUAGCGGGGGAUAACUAUUGGAAACGAUAGCUAAUACCGCAUAACAAUGGAUGACACAUGUCAUUUAUUUGAAAGGGGCAAUUGCUCCACUACAAGAUGGACCUGCGUUGUAUUAGCUAGUAGGUGAGGUAACGGCUCACCUAGGCGACGAUACAUAGCCGACCUGAGAGGGUGAUCGGCCACACUGGGACUGAGACACGGCCCAGACUCCUACGGGAGGCAGCAGUAGGGAAUCUUCGGCAAUGGGGGCAACCCUGACCGAGCAACGCCGCGUGAGUGAAGAAGGUUUUCGGAUCGUAAAGCUCUGUUGUAAGUCAAGAACGAGUGUGAGAGUGGAAAAUUCACACUGUGACGGUAGCUUACCAGAAAGGGACGGCUAACUACGUGCCAGCAGCCGCGGUAAUACGUAGGUCCCGAGCGUUGUCCGGAUUUAUUGGGCGUAAAGCGAGCGCAGGCGGUUUGAUAAGUCUGAAGUUAAAAGGCUGUGGCUCAACCAUAGUUCGCUUUGGAAACUGUCAAACUUGAGUGCAGAAGGGGAGAGUGGAAUUCCAUGUGUAGCGGUGAAAUGCGUAGAUAUAUGGAGGAACACCGGUGGCGAAAGCGGCUCUCUGGUCUGUAACUGACGCUGAGGCUCGAAAGCGUGGGGAGCGAACAGGAUUAGAUACCCUGGUAGUCCACGCCGUAAACGAUGAGUGCUAGGUGUUGGAUCCUUUCCGGGAUUCAGUGCCGCAGCUAACGCAUUAAGCACUCCGCCUGGGGAGUACGACCGCAAGGUUGAAACUCAAAGGAAUUGACGGGGGCCCGCACAAGCGGUGGAGCAUGUGGUUUAAUUCGAAGCAACGCGAAGAACCUUACCAGGUCUUGACAUCCCGAUGCUAUUUCUAGAGAUAGAAAGUUACUUCGGUACAUCGGUGACAGGUGGUGCAUGGUUGUCGUCAGCUCGUGUCGUGAGAUGUUGGGUUAAGUCCCGCAACGAGCGCAACCCCUAUUGUUAGUUGCCAUCAUUCAGUUGGGCACUCUAGCGAGACUGCCGGUAAUAAACCGGAGGAAGGUGGGGAUGACGUCAAAUCAUCAUGCCCCUUAUGACCUGGGCUACACACGUGCUACAAUGGUUGGUACAACGAGUUGCGAGUCGGUGACGGCAAGCUAAUCUCUUAAAGCCAAUCUCAGUUCGGAUUGUAGGCUGCAACUCGCCUACAUGAAGUCGGAAUCGCUAGUAAUCGCGGAUCAGCACGCCGCGGUGAAUACGUUCCCGGGCCU
rnacentral:rRNA from 1 species